rnacentral:rRNA from 1 species
UUAGUGGCGGACGGGUGAGUAACGCGUGGGGAACCUGCCUUGCACCGGGGGAUAACACUUAGAAAUAGGUGCUAAUACCGCAUAAGCGCACAGAGCCGCAUGGCUCAGUGUGAAAAACUCCCGGUGGUGCAAGAUGGACCCGCGUCUGAUUAGCUGGUUGGCGGGGUAACGGCCCACCAAGGCGACGAUCAGUAGCCGGCCUGAGAGGGUGAACGGCCACAUUGGGACUGAGACACGGCCCAAACUCCUACGGAAGGCAGCAG